AAAUAGAUACCCCGGGGUAGUCCACGCCGUAAACGAUGAGUGCUAAGUGUUAGAGGGUUUUCCGCCCUUUUAGUGCUGCAGCUAACGCAUUAAGCACUCCGCCUGGGGAGUACGGUCGCAAGACUGAAACUCAAAGGAAUUGACGGGGGCCCGCACAAGCGGUGGAGCAUGUGGUUUAAUUCGAAGCAACGCGAAGAACCUUACCAGGUCUUGACAUCCCACUGACCGGUAUAGAGAUAUACCUUUCCCUUCGGGGACAGUGGUGACAGGUGGUGCAUGGUUGUCGUCAGCUCGUGUCGUGAGAUGUUGGGUUAAGUCCCGCAACGAGCGCAACCCUUGAUCUUAGUUGCCAGCAUUUAGUUGGGCACUCUAAGGUGACUGCCGGUGACAAACCGGAGGAAGGUGGGGAUGACGUCAAAUCAUCAUGCCCCUUAUGACCUGGGCUACACACGUGCUACAAUGGAUGGUACAAAGGGCUGCAAGACUGCGAAGUCAAGCCAAUCCCAUAAAACCAUUCUCAGUUCGGAUUGCAGG
rnacentral:rRNA from 1 species